GACAGAGGUGCCGAGCGUUAGGCGGAAUCACUGGGCUUAAAGCGUGUGUAGGCGGGCGGGCAAGUACCUUGUGAAAUCCCACGGCUCAACCGUGGAACGGCUGGGUAUACUGCCUGUCUUGAGCCAACUAGGGGCGAGCGGAACAGACGGUGGAGCGGUGAAAUGCGUAGAUAUCGUCUGGAACGCCGAAGGUGAAAACAGCUCGCUGGGGUUGUGCUGACGCUGAGGCGCGAAAGCUAGGGGAGCAAACGGG
rnacentral:rRNA from 1 species